rnacentral:rRNA from 1 species
GAUGAACGCUGGCGGCGUGCCUAAUACAUGCAAGUCGAGCGAACAGACGAGGAGCUUGCUCCUCUGACGUUAGCGGCGGACGGGUGAGUAACACGUGGAUAACCUACCUAUAAGACUGGGAUAACUUCGGGAAACCGGAGCUAAUACCGGAUAAUAUAUUGAACCGCAUGGUUCAAUAGUGAAAGACGGUUUUGCUGUCUCUUAUAGAUGGAUCCGCGCCGCAUUAGCUAGUUGGUAAGGUAACGGCUUACCAAGGCAACGAUGCGUAGCCGACCUGAGAGGGUGAUCGGCCACACUGGAACUGAGACACGGUCCAGACUCCUACGGGAGGCAGCAGUAGGGAAUCUUCCGCAAUGGGCGAAAGCCUGACGGAGCAACGCCGCGUGAGUGAUGAAGGUCUUCGGAUCGUAAAACUCUGUUAUUAGGGAAGAACAAAUGUGUAAUUAACUAUGCACGUCUUGACGGUACCUAAUCAGAAAGCCACGGCUAACUACGUG